rnacentral:misc_RNA from 1 species
AGAAGUCGGUGUAGUGGCCCAUCGAUCCAGGGCAGUGGGUUAGUGCUUUGUGAGAGAGAAGUCAGUUUAGUGCCCCAUUAAUCCAGGGCAGUGGGUUAGUGCUUUGUGAGAGAGAAGUUGGUGUAGUCACCCAUCGAGUUGUUGAACCCAGCUGGUGCCAGGGUGCGAAACUAAUACCUACCUACCUUAAGCUUGAUGGCAGAACCACUAUGCCACUGUGGCCAGGAGUAAAUACAGCCACCUACUUUUUAUCAAACAGCCUCCUACUUUCAAAGAUUAGUUGAAUCUGAAUUUGGAAUUCCCCAUUGCUGAAUGACAUUGUUGAAGACUGGAUGAAUAUAGAAGUUAGAAGUGAAAUAUUCUACAAACUGAACACUUCAUAUGUUACAUAGUUUUGAUCACACAGACCAUUGGCAUAGCCAGGAAUUUUGUAUUGGGGGUAGGAGCUCCAUGAGUACUCAGACACCGGCAGAGUCUAGCAAGAUUCGAGUCUGUUCACAGGACUAGAGUACCUAAGUAUAUAAGAGCACUCUCAUUUAAUUAUAUUUUUUUACAUUAUAUUGCCAUAUGCUUGCCGCCGGUUACAUUAUAGGAGUAUGAGACAUGGAGGGAAAACAAAAGUCAAAUGGGUGAAAAUCAAUUCAAUGGCAUGAUUUGGCAUCCAUGUUCAGUGCUGGAAUUAAGAUGCAUAAUGCUAUUUUACUUUAUUCCUUAGUCUCAUUAUCAUCUAGUGUAAGUGGUGGCUACUCGGGUCUGGGUCAAGUUUGACCUCCAAUUACCCUAAUACAAUAUGUUGGACUUGUGGAGGCCUUAAUUGGGGGAGGGGGCACACACUGUCUAUAAGUUGUGAUAUGGGAUGAUGAGCUACCCCUGUGAAACACAUACACACCAGUGAAACACGUACACACCAAAUACUAGUUGCAUGCUCAAGUCAGGUACACUAGUUGGAUCCAGUAUAUUUUGUACAUAUUAUAAACAAUUUGAUAUUAUAUAUUUGGAAACAUUUGUUAUGUGUGUGUAUGAACUUUAUUUCACUUUUGCGACUUUUAAUGUAAUGCUGUUUAAUUGCUAUUUUCAGCCAAUAAAAUUUGCAUCGACACUUUAAUACAAAUAAUAGCUAAGAAUAACAACUCAUGAGCUCUGUAGAGGCAAGUUAAUUUUGUAACGUGGAUUCUCAACACCGGACAACAUCAUGGCAACAUGUUUUAUUGAUCAGGAUGACGGCAUGGAAGAUCACCAAGAAUAUGAAAAUGACAUGAUUGCUAUGCGUGAUGGAAGACCUCAAACCUGAUCCAGAUGUGGCGGGACUGGCAAUGUCGACGACCCCCGAGUCUCCUACAUCGACAUAUGCUGACAGUGACCCACUGCUGAGUAAACCGCCGACCACAGAGUCCUCCUUCCAGCUGUCUCAGGCAACAAAUAGCGAUAUCGAAAGAGGAAAAGAUAAAAACAAUGAUAGUAAAACCAGUGAAAACGAUAGAAACAUCAUCUACGGAUUCGUCGUCAACGUCAUUAUCAACAUCCGUGCGACGAUGGCGACAGUGUGCGCCAAGAACAAAGGCCCGGGUCGUGUCGUCUUUAAACUGUUGCUGCUUGUGACAUACGCCAUAUAUCUGGGGUUCGCCUUCAACUAUGAGUUCGGCGACAGCGACUCCAUAGCGCUCUUGGUGAUCACCUGCAUCAUCGGCUCUGGAUGGGUGUACAGCAGACUGAAAACUGUAUUUGGACAACGAGUUUACAACAGCUGUGUUAGACAUGGAGUUAUCUGGAUAAGGAGUAACGCUGUCUGGCUUAAAAGGCUGUUACUUGUAUUAGUGGUCGCACUAACGUCCAUCUACAUCAUGGUCGAUGUGAUUAUUCCACGACCACGCCAUCUCAUGUCCGUCGUCGGCAUCGUAGUCUACGUCUUCAUAACGUUCGUUUUCUCACGUAACCCCCGAAAGGUAAGAUGGCGACCUGUUAUUUGGGGUUUGUUUCUGCAGUUCGUAUUGGCCGUUUUGAUUCUACGAACACCAUGGGGUUACACAUCAUUUCAUUGGAUGUCAGACCGGAUGUUGGAGUUGAUAUCGUUCGCAGAUGCUGGCUCCGAAUUUGUUUUUGGCCCUGCUUACAAAGAACACUUUUUGGCUUUUCAGGUUCUGCCCGUGGUGGUGUUCUUCAGUUCGUGUGUGACAAUCAUGCACUACCUGCGCCUGAUGCAGGUGCUCACUGACCACAUGGCCGUGAUCAUGAAGUACACCAUAGGUACCAGUGUGAUGGAGUCCAUCCACGCCGCCUUCAACGUCUUCAUUGGCUGGGGUGAGGCAAUGAUGCUGCUACGUGGACGGAUCGAGCAGAUGACACUGGCCGAGAUCCACACGGUGAUGACGAGCAGCUUUGCGGUCAUAUCGGGCAGCAACCUGGCGGUGUACGUCAUGUAUGGGGCGGCUCCAUACCAUCUCCUUGCGGCUUCGUUUCUAUCCGCGCCAGCUGCUUUGGGGAUAUCUAAGUUGUGUUGGCCUGAUGAGAAGGUUAGUGACGACGAUGAAGAUGAGGAUUUCCCAGACACAGAACAGGAAGAACUGAACGCAGGGAUUAUCGACGCUGCUACGAAUGGCGCGAUCGGCGUGAUAACCAUCCUCGCCCACAUCAUCGUCUGCAUCCUGGCCUACGUCGCCCUCCUCACCCUCGUCAACGCCAUCCUCGUGUGGCUGGGACAGCGGGUCGGACUCGAUAUGAUUACACUGCAGAUAAUUUGCUCCUAUUUGUUCUGGCCAUUCGUCUUUAUCAUGGGCGUCCAGUCAGAAGACUGUCAGGUUUCUGCUCGUAUUCUCGGUAUCAAGCUCAAUGUCAACGAGAUGGUUGCAUUCUCGGACCUAGGAGUGGUCAUCAAGAACCGCGCCUUGCUGAACGCGUACAACGGAACGUGGCACUGGACCAGUAAUGGCGACAUUGCCCUUGACCGCACAAACACUACUUUGGUCGGAGGCGUCAUGACGGUAUGUAUGAAGGCGACGUCAUAAUUAGAUAUACCCAUAUGGACAGAGAGAAGUGGGGAAGGAAAAAUUAUCUUUCCCUUAUAUUAUAUUGGGAAAGAAAAAACAGCCCAUUUCAUUCCCUAGAUAUGUUUUGACGUCAUAAUCAGUGCUUCACUAUAGGCUUUGACGUCACAACUGUUGGGCAACAACAAACAACCCUAACUAUGUUUUUUAUUCAAAAAAGAUACGAAGAUUUACGAACAGUUUACAUGGUAGCAUUUAGGUCAACAAUAAACAUGCGUCCUCAGCGAUACCCUCACUCCGAGAUGAUCACGACCUACGCUAUAUGCGGUUUCUCCGACCUGCU